rnacentral:rRNA from 1 species
GACGAACGCUGGCGGCGUGCUUAACACAUGCAAGUCGAACGGAAGGGCCCUGCUUUUGUGGGGUGCUCGAGUGGCGAACGGGUGAGUAACACGUGAGUAACCUGCCCUUGACUUUGGGAUAACUUCAGGAAACUGGGGCUAAUACCGGAUAGGAGCUCCUGCUGCAUGGUGGGGGUUGGAAAGUUUCGGCGGUUGGGGAUGGACUCGCGGCUUAUCAGCUUGUUGGUGGGGUAGUGGCUUACCAAGGCUUUGACGGGUAGCCGGCCUGAGAGGGUGACCGGCCACAGUGGGACUGAGAUACCGCCCAGACUCCUACGGGAGGCAGCAGUGGGGAAUAUUGCACAAUGGGCGGAAGCCUGAUGCAGCAACGCCGCGUGCGGGAUGACGGCCUUCGGGUUGUAAACCGUUUUCGCCUGUGACGAAGCGUGAGUGACGGUAAUGGGUAAAGAAGCACCGGCUAACUACGUG